rnacentral:misc_RNA from 1 species
AGUGGGGCUGCCAAUUGGGGCAACUGAAUUGCACGGUAUUGUCCUAAGAACUCAUCUACUUUUGGUUCUCAAGAAAAAGUUGUUCCUUCAUGAAAGACGGAGGACAGAGGAGUGGGAAGUGAGAGAGAAAUUCUCCUGGAUUGAUUUAGCUGAGAGAUGGGGUAAGAUUGAAGAUGUGGCAGUUACAAAGAGUGAAAUGGAGAUGUAUGUUGACUUGCAUCCCUUGACCAAUACAACCCCCUAUACUGUGGUAGAAAGCAUGUCAGUGGCUAAAGCAAUGGUGCUCUUCAGGCAAGUGGGGCUUCGCCACAUGCUCAUAGUACCGAAAUAUCAAGCAGCAGGGGUAUCUCCGGUGGUGGGAAU